GACGAACGCUGGCGGCGCGCUUAACACAUGCAAGUCGAGCGAAGCGGCGGACGGGUGAGUAACACGUGAGUAACCUGCCUUAGACAUUGGGAUAGCCUCGGGAAACCGGGAUUAAUACCAAAUGGUCUAAGAUGGACUCGCGUCCCAUUAGCUGGUUGGUGAGGGAACGGCCCACCAAGGCGACGAGGGGUAGCCGGCCUGAGAGGGUGAACGGCGACAUUGGAGCUGGGAAACGGUCCAAACUCUACGGGAGGCAGCAAUGCGGAAUAUUGCACAAUGGAGGGAACUAUGAUGCAGCGAGGCUGGGAGAACGAAGAAGGCUUUCGAGUCGUAAAGUUCGUUUAUAUGGGAAGCGGUACCAUAAGAAAAAGCCCCGGCUAACUACGUGCCAGCAGCCGCGGUAAUUC
rnacentral:rRNA from 1 species